rnacentral:rRNA from 1 species
UACGUAGGGACCGAGCGUUGUCCGGAAUCAUUGGGCGUAAAGAGCGUGUAGGCGGCCUGUUAAGUCUUGCGUGAAAUCUCGGGGCUCAACCCCGAGCGGUCGUGAGAAACUGGCAGGCUAGAGUGCGGGAGAGGAGAGUGGAAUUCCUGGUGUAGCGGUGAAAUGCGCAGAUAUCAGGAAGAAGGGCCGUGGCGAAGGCGGCUCUCUGGAACGCAACUGACGGUGAGACGCGAAAGCGUGGGGAGCGAACAGG